rnacentral:rRNA from 1 species
UACGAAGGGGGCUAGCGUUGUUCGGAAUCACUGGGCGUAAAGCGCACGUAGGCGGACUUUCAAGUCAGGGGUGAAAUCCCGGGGCUCAACCUCGGAAUUGCCUUUGAUACUGUAGGUCUCGAGUCCGGAAGAGGUGGGUGGAAUUCCUAGUGUAGAGGUGAAAUUCGUAGAUAUUAGGAAGAACACCGGUGGCGAAGGCGGCCCACUGGUCCGGUACUGACGCUGAGGUGCGAAGGCGUGGGGAGCGAACGGG